rnacentral:rRNA from 1 species
AACGAACGCUGGCGGCGUGCCUAACACAUGCAAGUCGAACGAGAAAGGGGCUUCGGCUCCGAGUAAAGUGGCGCACGGGUGAGUAACACGUAGGUAACCUGCCUCUAAGAUUGGGAUAACCUGUCGAAAGAUGAGCUAAUACCAAAUAAGACCACGGCUUCCUCGGAAGCAGGGGUCAAAGGUAGCCUCUACUUGUAAGCUAUCACUUAGAGAUGGGCCUGCGUACCAUUAGCUAGUUGGUGGGGUAACGGCCCACCAAGGCAAAGAUGGUUAGCUGGUCUGAGAGGAUGAUCAGCCACACUGGAACUGAGACACGGUCCAGACUCCUACGGGAGGCAGCAGUGGGGAAUAUUGCGCAAUGGGCGAAAGCCUGACGCAGCAACGCCGCGUGAGUGAUGAAGGCCUUCGGGUCGUAAAGCUCUGUCGGAGGGAACGAAUGCUCUCGAGGUUAACAGCCUCUGGAAGUGACGGUACCCUCAAAGGAAGCACCGGCUAACUCUGUGCCAGCAGCCGCUGUAACAC